GGAAGGCAGAGGAGCAUAAAUCUUACAAGUUGCUUUUCCCCCAGACCAGCCAGAAGGAGCCCUAAAUGAAGACACAGUGCGCUGCUGGCCGCUGUAUUCUCCUCAUUUCGAUUUCAACAAGCCGGUCCACCCAGAGAAGCGUUUAGAAGAAAGCAGAGGUCACAGAGAUAAAUGUCAGCUGUCAGAAGAGCUGCAAAUGAAGGUGAUGUUCUUUGAUAAUGGUUUUGGAGAAGAAAGACCAUCCGAGUGAAAUCCGUGGCAAUGAAGAACAGCUGGCCACCAUCCCCUGUGAUAAUAACCUUCAUAUCGUUGAAACUCGCAUGGUUUUAGACCUGGCAUUCCCAAAAACAUCUCCUUGCAAAUGAUGUAGUUUAUUUGGUAUUUCCCCCUGUAAAUAACUUGAUUCCUUAUAGCCAAACCUUCCAGCGACUAUCAAAUUUUGGCUCUGUGCAGUAUAAUGCAAGCAUUUUCUGUCUAUUCAGGAAUGUCUUCUGAGGAGGUUUCACAAUAAAAUUUAUUGUGUUUAAUUUAUGACAUACAA